rnacentral:rRNA from 1 species
ACUUUCAACAACGGAUCUCUUGGCUCUCGCAUCGAUGAAGAACGCAGCGAAGUGCGAUAAGUAAUGUGAAUUGCAGAAUUCCGUGAGUCAUCGAAUCUUUGAACGCAAAUUGCACUUCCUGGCAUUCCGGGGAGUAUGCCUGUUUGAGGGUCAGU